GGAAUUAUGCCCGAAUGUUCAAGGACCACUUUGAUGGGGUGGUAAAUGAGGGUUCAAGUCCCCCUAAUUCCU
rnacentral:tRNA from 1 species